GCGUGGUUGGCGGUUUCAUCUUAGAGACGUAUAUAAAACGAUAAUUCAAAGGCAGCCUGCGCAUUUCUUUAUCCGUUCUUCGCUCCCUUCCUUCUCACUUCUCAGUGCUUCUCUCUCGUAUUCCACCGAUCCAGAUCUGAUCGCCCUCCAAGCGCUGAGAAGAAAAGUUAGGAAAGCAGAGAUUUUAACCGAAACACAACGCAAUGGCGGUGGAAUCGCCUCCGUCCAAGCACAAGCUGGUGAUACUCGGUGAUGAAUCGGUCGGAAAAACCAGCAUUACCACUCGCUUCAUCUGCCGCAAAUUCAAUACUACCUAUAAGGCUACAAUUGGAAUUGAUUUUUUUUCAAAGACGGUGUACCUUGAAGAUCGAACAGUUCGCUUCCAAUUCUGGGAUACUGCUGGUCAGAAGAGGUUUAAAAGUCUUAUCCCAUGUUACGUAAGAGAUUCUUCUGUUGCAGUGAUAGUAUAUGAUGUUGCAAACCGUCAAUCAUUUUUGAACACUUCAAAAUGGAUUGAGGAAGUACGCACUAACCGAGGAAAUGAUGUCAUUAUUGUUCUUGUUGGGAACAAAAUUGAUCUUAUUGAUAAAAGGCAAGUUUCAAUAGAAGAAGGUGAUGCCAAGGCUCGGGAGUUUGGUUUAAUGUUUAUAGAAACCAGUGCUAAAGAUGGAUUUAAUAUCGAGUUGUCCUUGUUUGCUUUUGAUGGUAAGGUGAGCAAAUAUUCAAUUAUCCCGGCUUAUUUUAUGACUAAGUGGGUAGUCAGUUGGCGAGCCAACAUAAUCGAAAAAAUCGAUUGGAAUGCUGCCAAAAAAAUAUUUUAUUGCCUUGUGUGCGAUAAGAGAGCUUAACCUUAUUCAGAGCACUAGCAACGUAUAUAUACAUGAAGAUUGAGCCUUUUGGAAGGCAAGAAACUGAUCUAAACUAGUUUCCUUUCAUGCUGGAAGAGGAACCAAUCCUUUAUGAAUAACAAGUCCAAUGUUGCGCCGACCUCUGCCCCGAGUCAACCUGGUCUCCAACUGAACGACUUCUCUCAACCAUUUGCCCAAUUGUCUCACUUGGUUCCAACUGAUCGACAAGCCAUUGGAGUCCAUCUCCGACCACAAUACCUUUUCUCAAGGCUAUUUUUCUUCUGUCUUAGUGGUACUAAUAUUGAUUUCUUUUC